UUAAGUUCAGCGGGUAGUCCUACCUGAUUUGAGGUCAGAUCACAAAUUGAAGUUGACCGCCACUCCAGAGGCUGGUCUUGGAGGGGCGCUAAGCUCGCGAGCCAUCCAGCGACGAGGUUGAUACAACGCCAAGGGACAAGCCACACGAAAGCCCGACCGAUUCAUUUAAGGGGAGCCGCCAGAGGCAGCAAAACCCCCAA
rnacentral:misc_RNA from 1 species